rnacentral:rRNA from 1 species
GACGAACGCUGGCGGCGUGCUUAACACAUGCAAGUCGAACGGAAAGGCCCUGCUUUUGUGGGGUGCUCGAGUGGCGAACGGGUGAGUAACACGUGAGUAACCUGCCCUUGACUUUGGGAUAACUUUAGGAAACUGGGGCUAAUACCGGAUAGGAGCUCCUGCUGCAUGGUGGGGGUUGGAAAGUUUCGGCGGUUGGGGAUGGACUCGCGGCUUAUCAGCUUGUUGGUGGGGUAGUGGCUUACCAAGGCUUUGACGGGUAGCCGGCCUGAGAGGGUGACCGGCCACAUUGGGACUGAGAUACGGCGCAGACUCCUACGGGAGGCAGCAGGGGGGAAUAUUGCACAAUGGGCGGAAGCCUGAUGCAGCAACGCCGCGUGCGGGAUGACGGCCUUCGGGUUGUAAACCGCUUUCGCCUGUGACGAAGCGUGAGUGACGGUAAUGGGUAAAGAAGCACCGGCUAACUACGUG